CGCAAAAAGGAACGCAAGGAGGCUUGGAGAAGCGAGGGCCAGAGAAACCCUAUCCCUCUCCCUCCAAAUACAAAAUAGACAUCCCUAACCCUAGCCCUAGCCAUGAAAUCCUCCCCCGAAUCCAACCGCUUGGCACUUUUCCAUCCCCCAUGGCUGUCCCAGCUAGCUUUUCCUCCAUUUGCUCUCCUCCCCGAUCCCUUCCCAAUUCCGGAUUCCGGCGGCAGACGUUUCGAUUUAGGUGCAUGUCGAGCCCCAGUGGCGAGGAGGAGUAUUUGGUGGACGCGCCGGUUUCAAUUGGAGAUGGGUUUUCUUUCAGUGGAGGAAAAUAUUCAGAUGGACCUAGUCGAUCCGAUGAAUGGUUUGCUCAGGGGAAAAUGAUCAAAGCUCAUCCUGUAUAUGGAGGCAAGGGGAAAGCAAAGGAUCCAAUAUUUGGUCUUACAAUGGGUGCUGGUUCACAAUCCCCGGCUGAUGUUUUCAGAUGGUUCUGCAUCGAGAAAGGAAGCUCUGCAAAUCCUUUGGUCAUUUUAAUUCAUGGUUUUCCAUCACAGGCAUACUCAUAUCGCAAAGUUCUUCCUGUACUGUCUGAAGAUUAUCAUGCCGUUGCUUUUGAUUGGCUUGGUUUUGGAUUUUCAGAUAAGCCUCAGCCGAAAUAUGGUUUUGACUAUACUCUGGAUGGUAGACAUUAUAAACCACAAUUAUACUAUGCUUCAUCUCUGGAGUCCCUUGUCAAUGAAAUGGCUCCUGAAAGGCUUUCUCUUGUUGUUCAGGGUUAUUUUGCUCCUGUAGUUGUAAAGUAUGCCAGUUGUCAUCAAGAGAAACUGAGAGAUCUUGUUCUCAUUAAUCCCCCUUUGAUGGAGAAACAUGCAAAGCUGCCAUCAACAUUGGCCCUAUUCAGCAACUUCUUGUUGGGUGAAAUAUUCUCCCAGGAUCCCCUCAGAGCUAGUGACAAGGCAUUGACCAGCUGUGGACCAUAUAUGAUGAAAGAGGAAGAUGCCAUGGUUUAUAGAAGACCUUACCUUACAUCUGGUUCCUCUGGUUUCGCACUAAACGCAAUAAGUAGAGCCAUGAAGAAGGAUUUAAAGUAAUUUGUAAUAGGCAUAUGUUCGAACAAUGAGGACGAUACUUACCAAUAAAUCUUGGAAAGUUAAUACAACAAUAUGUUGGGGUUUAAGAGAUCGUUGGCUAAGUUAUGAUGGUGUUGAAGAUUUUUGCAAGGCCUCAAAUCAUAAACUAGUGCGGCUGCCUAUGGCAGGUCAUCAUGUACAAGAGGAUUCUGGUGAAGAACUUGGUAGGAUCAUAGCAGAGAUUAUCAGAAAAAGCAAAUAAUUUGCCAUAAUUUCCAUCAUCUCUCUCUCUCUCUCUCUCACCCAUGAGAAAAUUUAAAAUCCUGACAGAGCAAAAGUUAAGAACCGAGCAGCUUCAGCUAUGUAAAGUUGAUGUAUAGUUGAUGGGUUUAGCCAACUAAUAAACCUUGGUGAUGGUGAUAUGUUAAAUAUGAGGUUCUUCUCUUUUAUUUAUAAAAUAUACAUUAUAAUUUUAACGAUAAA